GACGAACGCUGGCGGCGUGCUUAACACAUGCAAGUCGAACGGGCCCGCUCUCUUUUUUGGGGGUGGGUUGAGUGGCGAACGGGUGAGUAUCACGUGAGUAACCUGCCCCCUGCUCCUGGAUAACUGCUUGAAAGGGCGGCUAAUACGGGGUGUGCCGGCUGGUCCGCAUGGGCCUGGUCGGGAUAGUUUCAUCUUCGGGUGUUUCGGUGGGGGAUGGGCUCGCGGCCUAUCAGCUUGUUGGUGGGGUGAUGGCCCACCAAGGCGGUGACGGGUAGCCGGCCUGAGAGGGUGGGCGGCCCCACUGGGACUGAGACACGGCCCAGACUCCUGCGGGAGGCAGCAGUGGGGGGUAUUGCACAAUGGGCGGAAGCCUGAUGCAGCGACGUCGCGUGAGGGAUGGAGGCCUUCGGGUUGUGAACCUCUUUCUCCGGUGGUGAAGGCCCUGUCCGUUGCGGCGGGGUUGACGGUAGCCGGGUAUGAAGCGCCGGCUAACUACGUG
rnacentral:rRNA from 1 species